CGACGUUUGGAAUCGAAGUGAAGCGGUAACUCAAGUGUACAAGGGAGUUGGGCUCAGAUGUGGAUGAAGAUGCUCCGCCGACGUCGACGGCGACGGCGACCGCGGCUGCGGGGUAGCAGCAUUGGAGCCUAUGUACAUAUAUAGAUACACACACUCACAUCGCAGCCACAUCCGAUUUUCUUGCGUUGAUUGCGUUCUAUUGUUACGUUUCUCGCUUUGCUCCAUGCACCAACGGGCGAAACAACAACACUGCGACGCCAACA